GGGCCUAUAGCUCAGUUUGGCAGAGCCACCGGCUCAUAACCGGUAGGUCCCUGGUUCGAUUCCAGGUGGGCCCA
rfam:Candidatus Magnetoglobus multicellularis str. Araruama Cont213, whole genome shotgun sequence.